GAUGAACGCUAGCGGCAGGCCUAAUACAUGCAAGUCGAACGGUGUCUUCGGACAUAGUGGCGCACGGGUGCGUAACACGUAUGCAACCUACCUUACAUUGGGGGAUAGCCUUUCGAAAGGGAGGUUAAUACCGCAUAAGACAGUAGCUGGGCAUCCAGCAGCUGUUAAAGAUUUAUCGAUGUAAGCUGGGCAUGCGUCCAAUUAGCUAGUUGGUGAGGUAACGGCUCACCAAGGCAAUGAUUGGUAGGGGAACUGAGAGGUCAAUCCCCCACACUGGCACGGAGAUAGGGGCCAGACUCCUACGGGAGGCAGCAGUAGGGAAUAUUGGGCAAUGGACGCAAGUCUGACCCAGCCAUGCCGCGUGCAGGAUGAAGGCGUUAUGCGUUGUAAACUGCUUUUAUACAGGAAGAAACGACUCUUGCGAGAGGCAUUGACGGUACUGUAUGAAUAAGCACCGGCUAACUCCGUGCCAGCCGCCGCGGUAAAAC
rnacentral:rRNA from 1 species